rnacentral:rRNA from 1 species
AUGCCGAUUGGGGUGUCGGACGAGCUGCUCGGCACGUUCGUGCCGAUCGCCGUCUACUGGCUCUACUCGGGGCUCUACGUCGCGCUGGACGGCGUGGAGGGCCUCGACGCGUACCGCCUGCACCCCAGGGGGGAGGAGGCCGCCAGGAACGUCGUCUCCAGGGGCGCCGUCGUCAGGGGCGUCCUCGUCCAGCAGGCCUUCCAGGUCGUCGUCGCGCUCACGCUCUUCGCGGUUAUUGGUGAUGAGAGUGGUAUUGCACCGAAGCAGCCUUCUGCUGUGGUGAUAGCGCUGCAAUUUAUCAUCGCGAUGUUUGUCAUGGACACAUGGCAGUACUUCAUGCACAGAUACAUGCACAUCAACAAGUUUCUGUAUAAGCACAUCCAUUCCAAGCACCACACUCUUGUAGUCCCUUAUUCCUUUGGGGCUCUUUACAACCACCCUCUUGAGGGCCUUAUUCUGGACACUAUUGGCGGUGCUCUCUCCUUCCUCCUCUCUGGUAUGACACCACGAACAUCCAUAUUCUUUUUCUCUUUUGCGACCAUCAAGACGGUGGAUGACCACUGCGGGCUGUGGCUUCCCGGGAACAUCCUCCAUGCGUUGUUCAACAACAACACUGCUUACCAUGAUAUCCACCACCAGCUCUAUGGCAACAAAUAUAACUUUUCUCAACCUUUCUUCGUCCUUUGGGAUAAGAUUCUGGGGACAUACAUGCCCUACUCUCUCGAGAACCGGAAAGGGGGUGGGUUCGAGUCCCGGCCAGUUAAGUCAGUAGAGCAGACCAAGGCUGAUUAA